rnacentral:rRNA from 1 species
UACAGAGGAGCCAAGCGUUGUCCGGAUUGACUGGGCGUAAAGCGCACGCAGGCGGUCGCGCGCGUGGGGUGUGAAAUCUGGCCGCUUAACGGCCAGGCGCCAUCCCAUACGGCGCGACUGGAGUGAUGCAGAGGUCGAUGGAAUUGCCGGUGUAGUGGUGAAAUGCGUAGAGAUCGGCAGGAACACCCAGGGGGAAACCAGUCGACUGGGCAUCUACUGACGCUGAGGUGCGAGAGCGUGGGGAGUGAACCGG